CCCUAUUGCUACAUCGACCAUAGGCUCCGCUCGGCCAAAGGAGAUGGAGCCCGGUCGGUAUCAAUAGUCUUCCAUGAUAGUGUCAGCCAGACCCACAAAAUUUCUAUCCUCUCUAUCUCUUGGUCUCUGAGUAGGUGGAUAAUAUCUAUCUCCUUGAACACUCCCUCUACUAUUCCCACCGUUCCCUCCAAAACUUCCUCUAUAACUACCACUAUAACCUCCCUGUACUCUUCUCUCUCCUUGUCUAUUAUUUUCAUAAUGCU